rnacentral:rRNA from 1 species
UGACUGUAGCAAUACAGUUGAUGGCGACCGGCAAACGGGUGCGGAACACGUACAGAACCUUCCUUCGAGCGGGGAAUAGCCCAGAGAAAUUUGGAUUAAUACCCCAUAGUAUUAUAGAGUGGCAUCACUUUGUAAUUAAAGAUUUAUCACUUGAAGAUGGCUGUGCGGCUGAUUAGAUAGUUGGCGGGGUAACGGCCCACCAAGUCUACGAUCAGUAACUGGUGUGAGAGCACGACCAGUCACACGGGCACUGAGACACGGGCCCGACUCCUACGGGAGGCAGCAGUAAGGAAUAUUGGUCAAUGGACGCAAGUCUGAACCAGCCAUGCCGCGUGGAGGAUGAAGGCCCUCUGGGUUGUAAACUUCUUUUAUAUGGGACGAAAAAGGGCCUUUCUAGGUCAACUGACGGUACCAUUUGAAUAAGCACCGGCUAACUCCGUGCCAGCAGCCGCGGUAAUACGGAGGGUGCAAGCGUUAUCCGGAUUCACUGGGUUUAAAGGGAGCGUAGGUGGGUUGGUAAGUCAGUGGUGAAAUCUCCGAGCUUAACUUGGAAACUGCCAUUGAUACUAUUAAUCUUGAAUAUUGUGGAGGUCAGCGGAAUAUGUCAUGUAGCGGUGAAAUGCUUAGAGAUGACAUAGAACACCAAUUGCGAAGGCAGCUGGCUACGCAUAUAUUGACACUGAGGCUCGAAAGCGUGGGG